AUUGAACGCUGGCGGCAUGCUUUACACAUGCAAGUCGAACGGUAACAGGCCUUCGGGUGCUGACGAGUGGCGAACGGGUGAGUAAUGCUUCGGAACGUACCCAGAGGUGGGGGAUAACGCAGCGAAAGCUGUGCCAAUACCGCAUGUGAUCUGAGGAUGAAAGCGGGGGACCGAGCAGCAAUGUUUGGCCUCGCGCCUUUGGAGCGGCCGAUGUCGGAUUAGCUAGUUGGUGGGGUAAAGGCCUACCAAGGCGACGAUCCGUAGCUGGUCUGAGAGGACGACCAGCCACACUGGGACUGAGACACGGCCCAGACUCCUACGGGAGGCAGCAGUGGGGAAUUUUGGACAAUGGGCGCAAGCCUGAUCCAGCAAUGCCGCGUGCGGGAAGAAGGCCUUCGGGUUGUAAACCGCUUUUGGCAGGAACGAAACGGUGUCCGCUAAUACCGGGCGCUAAUGACGGUACCUGCAGAAUAAGCACCGGCUAACUACGUG
rnacentral:rRNA from 1 species